AAAUUCGAAGCCUCACUUACCACUCAUCUUGAACUAGAUAUGCCUAUUGGUCUCUCUGGCGUGAUUAUCUGUUAAAUAACUUGUUCUAGCUUGAAAUGGAUUUUGUGAUGUGCUAUAUGUAUCCUAUGGUCUUCUAGAUUAAUAAGCGGGGCCUCCACUGGAUAGUCGGCAAGGAGGAAUGAGAAGCACUAUGCACUUAUUUUGUUGGCUAAUACAAGACAAGGCUGUCAUAAAAGGCACACAUAUGAAGAGUUCCUGUCUCUGGAUUCAAAGAGUAAUAUAGCGUUCGAUGAUGCAGUGAGGAUUUUUGACUCGACACGGGCCAUAUAUAGAUAGUGGUUGUAAUACGUGAUUUGUUGUGAGAUUGUUAGUUGCCACGUGUCCAACCUCUCUGGGCAAUGGAUAAGGAGAUGAAAUGCUCACAUCAUGGACCAGGACGCCAUUGCAAUUGUCAAACUUGAGAAUGGACCAGAGAAGGAAAUGGGUCCCACAAGGAAGACGUAAUCUGCUGGGAUGAGCAUGGUUGAUGCCUGUGCCUUACAUGCAGCCGCCCAUGCAGUUUGAAAUGCCUGCAUUGCAUCGAAGCUAAUAUUAUAC